AAAUUGAAGAGUUUGAUCAUGGCUCAGAUUGAACGCUGGCGGCAGGCCUAACACAUGCAAGUCGAACGGUAACAGGAAGCAGCUUGCUGCUUCGCUGACGAGUGGCGGACGGGUGAGUAAUGUCUGGGAAACUGCCUGAUGGAGGGGGAUAACUACUGGAAACGGUGGCUAAUACCGCAUAACGUCGCAAGACCAAAGAGGGGGACCUUCGGGCCUCUUGCCAUCAGAUGUGCCCAGAUGGGAUUAGCUUGUUGGUGAGGUAACGGCUCACCAAGGCGACGAUCCCUAGCUGGUCUGAGAGGAUGACCAGCCACACUGGAACUGAGACACGGUCCAGACUCCUACGGGAGGCAGCAGUGGGGAAUAUUGCACAAUG
rnacentral:rRNA from 2 species